rnacentral:rRNA from 1 species
CCUACGGGGCGCUGCAGUGGGGGAUAUUGCACAAUGGGGGGAACCCUGAUGCAGCGACGCCGCGUGGGUGAAGAAGCGCCUCGGCGCGUAAAGCCCUGUCAGCAGGGAAGAAAAUGACGGUAACUGAAGAAGAAGCCCCGGCUAACUACGUGCCAGCAGCCGCGGUAAUACGUAGGGGGCAAGCGUUAUCCGGAUUUACUGGGUGGAAAGGGGGCGCAGACGGCGAUGCAAGCCAGGAGUGAACGCCCGGGGCCCAACCCCGGGACUGCUCUUGGAACUGCGUGGCGGGAGUGCAGGAGGGGCAGGCGGAAUUCCUGGGGUAGCGGUGAAAUGCGUAGAUAUCAGGAGGAACACCGGUGGCGAAGGCGGCCUGCUGGACUGCAACUGACGUUGAGGCCCGAAAGCGUGGGGAGCAAACAGGAUUAGAUACCCUGGUAGUC